CGAAGCGCUCCUCCAUCAGCGAGCGGAUGUGCUGGGCCUCGAAUUCCAGCUGUUGCCGGAUCAGAUCCAUCUGCAUUGAGAACUGCUGGGAGGAGCGGACGGGCCCCGUAUGCAGAGGAAGUCCCAGGUCAGUGCCUCACCUUUCAGCUGUUCCAGCACCUCAGUCUGCCCGGAGGACACCAACACACGAGCCUCCUGCUCCAGCUUGCCCUUACUGAUCCUGCCUAUGACUCAGCCAGGGGUCCCAGCUGUGCAUCAGGAUGGACUGGAGUUGCGUGCAGCCUCCUCCUGGAAGCCCUCCUGCCUGCCCUUCAUCCCAGGCUGCCUCGAGGAACGCAUCAGACAUCUCCAUCACCAAUGAGAAAAGACCUACAGCUGGAGGUUUGUCUGAAUGAGCAGCGAGGGGCCGCAUUUCCUCUGAUUCAUCUGACACCCAGAGAGACGCAGCGGCAUCCCCCUAGGCACACUAGCCAGCCCGCAGACUCUGGGAGACCUGGGUGUUGAAAUCUGUGGGUGGGUGUUUGCAUGGGACCAGCUGCAGCGACGCAGACGCCCAGUUCUCUGGGACACAGUUUCCCCUAUGGCUCCACCCUGAAGAAAUAGAGUCUCCACAUUGUGUAUUUA